rnacentral:lncRNA from 1 species
CAAACUUCUCUGCAAUAUACCAAAGCACAGAACACAGCAAAACAAAAACAGCUUUCCAAGUGUGACGUAAAGUCUGAAGUUAGCAGUUUGGGAUGGUUGGGCAGGCCUAAACACUCAAUUUUUGUGUAUGUAGGGCUUUUGGGUGUGGGGGUAUGCCACGGUUUAUAUUUUCUUAAGCCAACAGUCUAAUUAGUUUGCUAGCUCCCCCUUCUCAUAAAGCUUGGUUACAAAAGGUUGGGAAGGAGCCACCGAGUGCCAGCAUCAGAGGCAGCUGUAGCAAAAAACAAGGACCUCUGGGGGAUGUUAAAACUAGCUGAAGAAAAAGGAAAAGUUGGGGGUAUGGGGGAGGAGAGGAAGGCCAUUCAUUCAAAUUAAUAAAACAAUCUCACACCUUUUAACAUCAGCACACUUAUAUAUUAGUCUAGGUGGAAACUACCCUUAUUUUGAAAUUAUAUGACAGAUAAAUUCUAGGAACAGAGAAGCUUUUAAGAGUUUGCUUCUAAGCUAAUUAUCCUGCCAUAUGAGUAAAUAUUUAAAGAAAUAAUCACUAUCAUCGAACAUUUCACAUCUUUGCUCUACUUGGUUACGUGGGCUCUGUGAUCUGAUCCCAACCAUUUUCUCAAAAUGCGCUCCCUCCCCUCUGCCUCCACAGAGGUGAGUUUUUCUCCCUUUACCAUUCUUAUCCCUUUUGACUACCAACCACAUCAAGUCUUUCCUUCUUCUCACUCCUGAACUAAUGCAACAUCUUGCAGCAUCAGUCACCUUCCCAUGGCUUCCUAACGACAUGGCUUCUAACCAUCCCACUCCACUGAGGAAUCAGAACUGUCGAAGGCCACAUACAAUUUCCCAAGGAAGAAAUUCAGCCAGGGAUCGAACCUACAACCUCAUGGUUCCUGGUCAGGUUCGUUUCCACUGAGCCACGAAGGGAACUCCUAAAGCAGUCUAUAGUAUUUUAACAUCAGCAACAACUGAAAAUUGAAGGUGACAUAAUGGUUUCAACAUUUAAUACCAUUUCUUUAAAUGCAUGAUAAUUCUUCUUAUCUUUCAGCUCCCUACAUGGUUAGAACUAGACAUUCUCUGUAUUCUACUGUAUUAUUUUUUGUCCUGAAAAAUGCUUUGAUAGAUAAGCACUAGAAGAAAUGAAAAUGAUAAUAACUGUUUUAAAAUGACCUCAAGGACCUCUGCCCCCGUGUUACUCCAGUAAUUAUGUAAUAUUUUAUGGCAAAAAAAAAAAAAGAUUUUGCAGAUGUAGUUAAGGUUACUAAUUGUUGUGGGUUGAAUGAUGUCCCCUAAAAGCAUGUUGAAAUCCUUAAACCACCCAGUUUCUGGCAUUUUGUUAUGAUAGCCUUAGCAAAUUAAUGUACUAUUCAGCUAACCUUGAAUUAAACAAGAGGAGUGGGUAUAAUCUAAUCACAGAAGCCUGAUAAAAGCAGGGCAUUUUAUUGAGCAAAAGGGGAAGUCAGAGGGAGUUCCUGUUGUUGUGGCUCAGUGGUAACGAACCCGACUAGAACCAUGAGGUUGUGGGUUCAAUCCCUGGCCUUGCUCAGUGGGUUAAGGAUCUGGCGUUGCUGUGAACUGUGGUGUAGGUUGCAGACAUGGCUCAGAUCCGGCGUUGCUGUGGCUCUGGUGUAGGCUGGUGGUUUACAGCUCUGAUUUGACCUCUAGCCUGGGAACCUCCAUAUGCUUCAGGAGCGGCCCAAGAAA